AGGCGAGGGUCUCGGAGAGCCGAUGACGCGCCACCAUCCCACUCGGCGGGGGGGACGCUGUCUGCGAUGAGGCCGCUGCCGGCGCUGGUUCUCGCCCUCGCCGCUCUCGUCUGCACAGCAGCAGCUUGCUCACCCGCAGACGCCACGUUCGACGGCUGCAACUGGUGCAUCUGCAACCCCGAAGGCGAGUGGUCGUGCAGCGAGAAGCAGUGCUCCACCCCGCCGCCAGAUGAUACAAGAAACAUCGACAGAGUGACGUAAUGAACCACAACAAAGAUGAAUCUGCGAGAGCUCAGCUGGGAGGGAUUACUGGAAAAUAAAAUCCGGGACAGACCCGGAGUGCCCACUCGCUUCAGAAAACGCAGCAGGGGAGACGUCGGCGGACACAAAUAGGAGGAGACGGCGCGACUGCCCUUCGGACGUGGCCUCCGCCGGGCGGGGGGCACCAAGCCGUUCCCGUGUCCCGGCGUAGGACACGGCGGCGGGGCAGUGGCGCCGUACGCUUUUAUUUGUGUUUGCCGACCUCACCUGUGCUGUGCUUUCUGGACCGAGCGCGGAACACCGGAUCUCUCCCGGAUUUUAUUUUCCAGUAAUCGAUUUGCAUCGCCGAUGCACUCUUCGUAUCGACCGCACAGAACUGUAAUGUUUUUCUGUUGAUCUGAAGUGUCUCACAAGUAAAGUUGUCUCAUGUGGAAAAAUCUUAA